rnacentral:rRNA from 1 species
GACGAACCGUGCGAACGUUGUUCGGAAUCACUGGGCUUAAAGGGCGCGUAGGCGGGCCGGCCAGCCCGGGGUGAAAGCCCCCCGCUCAACGGGGGAAGUGCCCCGGGGACGACCGGCCUCGAGGGGGGUAGGGGCGUGCGGAACUUCCGGUGGAGCGGUGAAAUGCGUAGAGAUCGGAAGGAACGCCGGUGGCGAAAGCGGCACGCUGGACCCCAUCUGACGCUGAGGCGCGAAAGCCAGGGGAGCGAACGGG